UACGUAGGGGGCAAGCGUUGUCCGGAUUUAUUGGGCGUAAAGGGCGCGUAGGCGGCGCCACAAGUCACUUGUGAAAACUCUGGGCUCAACUCAGAGCCUGCAAGCGAAACUGUGGUGCUGGAGUAUGGGAGAGGUGCGUGGAAUUCCCGGUGUAGCGGUGAAAUGCGUAGAGAUGUGGAGGAACACCAGUGGCGAAGGCGACUCUUUGGCCUGUAACUGACGCUGAGGCGCGAAAGCGUGGGGAGCAAACAGG
rnacentral:rRNA from 1 species